rnacentral:tRNA from 1 species
GCCCGUGUAGCUCAGUUGGUUAGAGCAGCUGAUUCUUAAUCAGCGGGUCCGGGGUUCAAAUCCCUGCGCGGGUA